UACGUAGGGUGCAAGCGUUGUCCGGAAUUAUUGGGCGUAAAGAGCUCGUAGGCGGUCUGUGGCGUCGGAUGUGAAAACCCGGGGCUUAACCCCGGGCCUGCAUUCGAUACGGGCAGACUCGAGUGUGGUAGGGGAGACUGGAACUCCUGGUGUAGCGGUGAAAUGCGCAGAUAUCAGGAAGAACACCGGUGGCGAAGGCGGGUCUCUGGGCCACUACUGACGCUGAGGAGCGAAAGCGUGGGGAGCGAACAGG
rnacentral:rRNA from 1 species